UGCCGUCUAUACUCCAGUGGGAACCUGCCUGGACCCAGUGCAGGAUUUCUGGAAGCCCCUGCAUUUUCCCUACUUCAGGAUGAAGCUGGCCCAUGUGCAUGUGAGCUCACCUGCCUCAGAGCUGGAGGGCCACGCCUCCCUCCUCCCAGUCCAGCUGGAGCCUCCAGAGCCCGUGGAGGCAGAGCUGGAAGUACGAUUUCCAGAGCUCCCACCAGCUCCAGCUCCAGAGCCAGAGCAAGGGCCAGCUCCAUGGCCCAGGCCAGCUCCAGCUCUAGUUCCACCACCUGUGCUACAGCUGGAGCAAGUGUCACCUCCAUCAGCCCUUCCAGGGCCAGAGCCAGUGCCAACAUCAGCUCCAGCCCCAGGGCCAGCUCCAGCUGGAGCCCGCUGGACCCUUCUCUCCAGGAAGAACACUUCCUCCAUCUGGAGAGAUUACAUCAGAGCCGGAUCCAGCCCCAGAGCCCACCUGCCCCUGUGCAGUGACCACCAAGAGCCUGCUGUGGGAGCAGAAGCCUGACUUCCUGGGGUUCCCUCCCCAGCUGAUUGCAGAGCAAUUUACACUGAUGGAUGCGGAGUUGUUCAAGAAAGUGAUACCCAGCCACUGUCUGGAAUCCACCUAGUCCUGGUGGGACAACAGGGGCAAUGAGCACCUGGCACCUACCAUCUGUGCCGCCAUCACCCAAUUUAGCACUGUAGCAAACUGUGUCAUCAGCACCUGCCUCGGAGACCCAAGCAUGAUGGCCCAGGACAGGGCCAGAGUUGUGGAGCUCUGGAUCCAGGUGUCCAAGGAGUGCCAAGGCCUGAGAAGCUUUUCCAUGCCAUCCUCUCUGCUCAUGGAAGCUGCUCAUGGAGGAAGCAACCUCUUUGUUGGAAACCCUGGACAUAAAUGCCUAGGGAGCCCAGGUGAGGCAGCAGCAGCAGGUAAGUGUGCCUGUGGGGAAGGGUCCAUGCGUCAGAGGAGAGGGGGCUCCGCCCUCACAGCUGGAGGCCUCCACUCAGAGAGGGGUCCCUCCUCCUUGGGCCCAGCUCCUGGCCCCACAGAGCCUGAAACGCCUGCAUUGGAAGUGAGCAGGAGGAGGCCUGGCAGGGCUGGGCCCAGGAGGGACUUGGGGUGGGGAGGAGCAGGGACCACAUUCCCUGGGAUUUGGCAAAAGCCGACCCUGGGAGGUGAUGGGGGGGAUUGGUGUUCCUGGAGGGGGCUACUUUGGGGAGACUGCUGAGGGUCCUGGGCUGCUUUUUGUGGGAGUCUGGGGUGGCAGGAGGCUGGGGUGAGGGGUUUUGGGGGAGGGUCCAUGGGGGUAUCUGAAAAUCUGGACUCAUCAUCACUCCCAUUCUGCUAGCACAGGGUGUCGUCCCCUUCCUGGGCUAAAUCCUCGAUUACCUGCAGCUUCUGGACACUGAGAUGGAGGAUUAUCUGAAGGAGCGUGAGCAUGGAGGGGGGAACAGGGAACAGAAUCCUGAGGUUUGGGAGGCGAGAGUCCCGCACUGGGUCCUGAGCUCUCAGCAUUUGGAAAAGCUCCUCUCCAGAGAGCCUCAUGGUUGCCCCUGGAAGCUGGGGCCUCAAGCCCAUCUUUGAGAUGCGGGAAUGAAGGCUCUGCAUAAUCCCCCCUCCAGGCUCCCUGGGCUGGGGGAGCUCAGAGCUGCCUGACUGCAGAGCUGCAGAAGGUGGCGUGAGAGCUGGACUCAGCCUCAUAUGUUGGAGUCCUAAACCCCAUAGCUCAGUAUUUGAAGACAAGGUCUUUAUAGGGUGAUUAAGUUAAAAUGGUGUCAAUUAGGGCAGACCCUAAUCCAAUAUGACUGCUGUCCUUAUAAGAAGAGGUCAUUUGGACACAGACAUGGACAGAUGGAAGACAAUCUAACAAUGCAGGAAGAAGAUGGCCGCCUACCAGCCAGAAAGAGAGGCCUGGAACAGAUCCUUCCUUCCUCUCAGAAGGAGCCAACCCUGCCAACAGUUUGAGCUCAGAUGUCUAGCCUCUAGAACUGUGAGAAAAAAAAUUCUGUGGUUUAAGCCAUCCAUUGUGUGGUACUUUGUUAUGGCAGCCCUCGUAAUUAAUACAGGGUUUAAUGCCCUUGUAAUGUUUUCCAAGUUAGGGGAGGUCUUUCCAUUCUGUGAGUUAUAUAUUACAAAUGAGUAUUCUACUUUCUCAAUUUUUUUUAUUGUGGAAAAAAGACAGACAAUAUUAAAUUCACUCUGCCAACAAUUUCCAAGUGUACAUUACAACAGUGUUGACCACAUGGACAUGUUGUGCCACAGAUCCUCAGAUGCCCCCAUCCUGCAUGACUGAAUCGCUACACACAGCAAACCACUCCCCACCUCCUCUGACCCCCAGCCCUUGGGAUCCACUAUUCUACUUGGCUUCUGUGAGGUUCACUACUUUAGAUCCGUCAUUUCAGUGGAAUCGUGCAGCAUUUGUCCUUUGGUGACUGGUUUAUUUCAUUUACCAUAAUACCCUCAAGGUUCAUACAUGUUGCAGCAUAUGACAAGAUUUCCUUCCUUUUUAAGGCUGAAUAAUAGUCCAUUGUAUGCCUGUAUCACCUUUUCUUUAUCCCAUCAUCCAUCAGCGCACAUUUAGAUCAUUUCCACCUCUUAGUUAUUGUGAAUAACGCUGCAAUGCAUUUUCUCAAAUGUUCUCCUGGCCCUUAGUGAGACUGAAAUGUGAUAAAUCACCCUUCUAAAUGUCUAAGAGGAGGAAAAUUGGACACAUGACAUGGACAGAGGGAAGACAAUGUAACAACACAGGGAGGAUAUUUAAAUAUUUGUCACUCUACAGAUAAACCUUGUCUAACUACAUAUUGUAUUGAUAUCAGUAUAUUAAUAAUGUAAGAAUUUUGCAUCAAGUGCUUUGUCAUAAUGACUUUUUGUGUGUGUUCAGGAAGCUUGCAUAAUAUGAGGAUCCCCCGAUUCUUGAAUAUUUAGUAGAGUUUUCUAGUAAACUUUUAGGAUGGGAAGUCUCUUCCUAGAUGUGAGGCAGGGAACAGAAAAAUAAUAAAGUGAUUGAUAUAUUUAACUACA
rnacentral:lncRNA from 1 species